rnacentral:rRNA from 1 species
GACAUCCAGAGAAUUUAGCAGAGAUGCUUUAGUGCCUUCGGGAACUCUGAGACAGGUGCUGCAUGGCUGUCGUCAGCUCGUGUUGUGAAAUGUUGGGUUAAGUCCGCAACGAGCGCAACCCUUAUCCUUUGUUGCCAGCACGUAAUGGUGGGAACUCAAAGGAGACUGCCGGUGAUAAACCGGAGGAAGGUGGGGAUGACGUCAAGUCAUCAUGGCCCUUACGAGUAGGGCUACACACGUGCUACAAUGGCGCAUACAAAGAGAAGCGACCUCGCGAGAGCAAGCGGACCUCAUAAAGUGCGUCGUAGUCCGGAUUGGAGUCUGCAACUCGACUCCAUGAAGUCGGAAUCGCUAGUAAUCGUAAAUCAGAAUGUUACGGUGAAUACGUUCCCGGGCCUUGUACACACCGCCCGUCACACCGUGGGAGUGGGUUGCAAAAGAAGUAGAUAGCUUAACCUUCGGGAGGGCGUUUACCACUUUGUGAUUCAUGACUGGGGUGAAGUCGUAACAAGGUAAGCGUAGUGCU